GCAUCGAUGAAGAACGCAGCCAGCUGCGAUACGUAAUGUGAAUUGCAGAAUUCAGUGAAUCAUCGAAUCUUUGAACGCAAAUUGCGCUUCAGGUUUUACUGGAGCACGUCUGCCUGAGUGUCAUUCUAACACAUACUCGAUAUGCAAGGGGCGCGGUCUGCGCGGCCUUUGUGUGUCGGCAGUGCGGCGAUUGGGGUAUAUACAUGUAUAUACUGCAGGGCCGUUAAGUGUCGGUUGCAGCGAUGCAAUGUAGGACGGACCGCAGUAAAGCAGUGGCCCAUCGACUCUGAGCUAUACAUUGGUGUGGCAUAUAUAAGCUGCUUUGGUGGCUUAUUUACCUCUCCGCCUGUGUGCUUUAUGAGAACAGUAUGGCGCCAUGUGUGUGCGGGAUACAAACACUGUCUAAGAAUAGGAAUUUGAAUCAUGACCUCAGAUCAGUCGAGACUACCCGCUGAAUUUAAGCAUAUCAAUAAGCGGAGGA
rnacentral:rRNA from 1 species